rnacentral:pre_miRNA from 1 species
GGAAACUUGAAAACUACCGUUGGAUCGAGAAAUGGACGUCCGAGAUUUGUUUACGUCACCAUAAGUUAAAAUUUAACUCGCAGAUUUACUCAUGAGUUAAAAUUUUACUAGGAGUUAAAUUUUAACUCAUAGUAACGUGGACGAAUCUCGGAUGUCCAUUUCUCGAUCUAACGGUAGUUUCCAAGUUUUC